CCAGAAGCUGCACGUGUGAAAAGGGCCUCGCACUGGAGCUGGAAGCUGAUUAAUAUGGAAUUCCAGCCAACUGCAGAAUUGAAAUCACCCAAUGCAGACUGACCUGAGGCCCCACUGUUCAAGAUACCAGGCUGACUCUGAGAGCCAUAAUACCAACUGAACUGCCAGAGUCUUUGGCAUCUGUGCUGCCCUACACAGCACCUACCCUCGCCCACCACUGGAGAAGCCAGGAGUGUUCCUGGACAGUGGAAGAGGUGCUGGGGAUGUGCUCACAGUCUCCUGC
rnacentral:lncRNA from 1 species